rnacentral:rRNA from 1 species
CCUACGGGAGGCAGCAGUGAGGAAUAUUGGUCAAUGGGCGGGAGCCUGAACCAGCCAAGCCGCGUGAAGGAAGAAGGGACUUAGUAUUGUAAACUUCUUUUGUCGGGGAACAAAGGCGGAGACGCGUCUCCGGAUGAGUGUAUCCGAAGAAAAAGCAUCGGCUAACUCCGUGCCAGCAGCCGCGGUAAUACGGAGGAAGCGAGCGUUAUCCGGAGUUAUUGGGUUUAAAGGGUGCGCAGGAGGGAGAUCAAGUCAGCGGGAAAAUGUCGGGGCUAAACCCCGGCCGGCCGUUGAAACUGGUUGUCUAGAGUGGGAGAGAGGUAUGCGGAAUUCGUGGUGUAGCGGUGAAAUGCAUAGAUAUUACGAAGAACUCCGGUUGCGAAGGCAGCAUACCGGCUCCAUACUGACGCUGAGGCGCGAAAGCGUGGGGAUCGAACAGGAUUAGAUACCCGGGUAGUC